rnacentral:rRNA from 1 species
GACGAACGCUGGCGGCGUGCUUAACACAUGCAAGUCGAGCGAUGAAGUUUUUUCGGAAAUGGAUUAGCGGCGAACGGGUGAGGAACACGUGAAGAAUCUGCCCUCCACUUUGGGAUAACACAGGGAAACCUGUGCUAAUACCGAAUAUUGUAACAUAAGUGGCAUCACUGAGUUUUGAAAGAAUUUCGGUGGAGGAUGACUUCGCGGCCCAUCAGCUAGUAGGUGAGGUAAUGGCUCACCAAGGCAACGACGGGUAGCCGGCCUGAGAGGGCGACCGGCCACACUGGGACUGAGACACGGCCCAGACUCCUACGGGAGGCAGCAGUGGGGAAUAUUGGGCAAUGGAGGAAACUCUGACCCAGCGACGCCGCGUGCGAGAUGAAGGCCUUCGGGUUGUAAACCGCUUUCAGUAGGGAAGAAGCGAAAGUGACGGUACCUACAAAAGAAGCACCGGCUAACUAUGUGCCAGCCGCCGCCGUAA